GGGUUCCACCUCUUCCCAUUCCGAACAGAGAAGUUAAGCCUUGUCGCGCCGAUGGUACUGCGUAAAAGUGGGAGAGUAGGUCGUUGCCGUUU
rnacentral:rRNA from 1 species